rnacentral:rRNA from 1 species
GCUCAGAUUGAACGCUGGCGGCAGGCCUAACACAUGCAAGUCGAGCGGUAGAGAGAAGCUUGCUUCUCUUGAGAGCGGCGGACGGGUGAGUAAUGCCUAGGAAUCUGCCUGGUAGUGGGGGAUAACGUUCGGAAACGGACGCUAAUACCGCAUACGUCCUACGGGAGAAAGCAGGGGACCUUCGGGCCUUGCGCUAUCAGAUGAGCCUAGGUCGGAUUAGCUAGUUGGUGGGGUAAUGGCUCACCAAGGCGACGAUCCGUAACUGGUCUGAGAGGAUGAUCAGUCACACUGGAACUGAGACACGGUCCAGACUCCUACGGGAGGCAGCAGUGGGGAAUAUUGGACAAUGGGCGAAAGCCUGAUCCAGCCAUGCCGCGUGUGUGAAGAAGGUCUUCGGAUUGUAAAGCACUUUAAGUUGGGAGGAAGGGCAGUUACCUAAUACGUGAUUGUUUUGACGUUACCGACAGAAUAAGCACCGGCUAACUCUGUGCCAGCAGCCGCGGUAAUACAGAGGGUGCAAGCGUUAAUCGGAAUUACUGGGCGUAAAGCGCGCGUAGGUGGUUUGUUAAGUUGGAUGUGAAAUCCCCGGGCUCAACCUGGGAACUGCAUUCAAAACUGACUGACUAGAGUAUGGUAGAGGGUGGUGGAAUUUCCUGUGUAGCGGUGAAAUGCGUAGAUAUAGGAAGGAACACCAGUGGCGAAGGCGACCACCUGGAC